UACAGAGGGUGCAAGCGUUGUUCGGAAUUAUUGGGCGUAAAGGGCGCGUAGGCGGUGCUGUAAGUCUGUAGUGAAAUCUCUGGGCUCAACUCAGAGUCUGCUAUAGAAACUGCAGUGCUGGAGUGUGGGAGAGGUGAGUGGAAUUCCCGGUGUAGCGGUGAAAUGCGUAGAUAUUCGGAAGAACACCAGUGGCGAAGGCGACUCGCUGGCCCGAUACUGACGCUGAGGCGCGAAAGCGUGGGGAGCAAACAGG
rnacentral:rRNA from 1 species